rnacentral:rRNA from 1 species
UACAGAGGUCCCGAGCGUUGUUCGGAUUCACUGGACGUAAAGGGUGCGUAGGUGGUGAGGUAAGUCGGAUGUGAAAUCUCCGGGCUCAACCCGGAAAUGGCAUUGGAAACUACCUUGCUGGAGGAUUUGAGGGGGGAUUGGAAUACUUGGUGUAGCAGUGAAAUGCGUAGAUAUCAAGUGGAACACCAGUGGCGAAGGCGAAUCCCUGGAAAAUACCUGACACUGAGGCACGAAAGCUAGGGGAGCAAACAGG